UACGUAGGGGGCGAGCGUUGUCCGGAAUCAUUGGGCGUAAAGGGUUCGUAGGCGGACUGAUAAGUCAGAUGUGAAAAGAUGUGGCUUAACCAUGUUAAGCAUUUGAAACUGUCAGUCUUGAGUGAAGGAGAGGUAAGUGGAAUUCCUAGUGUAGCGGUGAAAUGCGUAGAUAUUAGGAGGAAUACCAGUAGCGAAGGCGACUUACUGGCCUUUAACUGACGCUGAGGAACGAAAGCGUGGGUAGCAAACAGG
rnacentral:rRNA from 1 species